UCCAUGCAUCCCCUGGCGUUUCCUCCUCCGAAAAUCCCCGUUCCCAACUCCCCAUUGUCCUUCUCGCCCAUCCUGAUUUGGCCCCGUCUGUGUUCUCCUUCGACACCGGAUUUGGUAGCGCGGGGUUGCUCGGCCGUCGCCCUGCCAGCACACGGUUGAGCAUCAGGACGCCCGCGAUGCAGUCGGCAACUUGCCGCCGCCAAACUCCUCACUGGUUGUGUCGCCGCCAUCAUGGGGAGUAGCACAGGCCAGCGGUUGGGCCAUCGCCAUCGGGUUGCUGUUCUGCUUCCUAACCUCUCUCCUCGUGCGCACCAGGAGAAGCACCGCUGCAGAAACGGGCAAGGAUGUUUAGCUCUUUGGCCGGCCACCAGCCCUCGCUCUUCUCCUACCACUCUCCUCCGCAUUCAAUCUCAAUUUCUCAUCGGCGCUCAAAAGGACAAGCAAGCACGACCGUGAUGUUGAUUUGAACAGGGUACAGGAGUUUGUGCAAGACGUAUCAUGUAUGCCUGAUUAUUUUGAUCAAAGGUAUCAAUUGUGUACCAAGACAAUCGUAAAAAAUUAACUAAAGGUGAAUUUUAAGUUGUAUGUCAGACAAUUCCAAAAAUUGAAGUGAUCAAAUCUUAUCGUAAGUGUGGAAAUUCCUCGCCAUUGGACGAUUCUGGUCGUGCCAAAUCUACUAAUCCAGGGAUGUCCAUGUUAUUAUAUACUGUCAUGACUAAUCUAAAAAAUAAUGUCAUGAUUCUGUUAGCAACAAUUAGUUUAAUUAUUUGAUGAACAAAAGAUUACAAGUUCAAAUUCAUAUCAUUGAAGUAUUUUCUUUUUGUGAUUAGAAAGGAACUGAUCAUGCGUCAUUUCCACUUUAUAUAUGACAACCUAGGAUAAAUUAUGGAGAAUUAUGAACGACCAUAGCUGACAGUGAUGUACUCAUAGGUGCUCUGUUCACCUGGACUGAAUGAUGAUGGACAUACCUAGCUUUAGAAUGACUCUUUGGUGGUAGCUUUAAUUUAUUCUUAGUACAUCCUCAUGUAUAUGUCCUCUUUUUAGCUUAUGCUUGAAAUUUAUGCACCUCUAUCAAUUUACAUUCUCUCAGAUGUUGCAUUUUAUAAAUGAUGCCGUUAUCAACUUCCGUGGAUGCCUAUCUAUCACCUGCUUUUUAUUACUACUAUGUACUCAUUAUGGUACACUUCCAUAAUGACUAUUGCAUGUUUCUUAACUUGACAUUCAUAGUUAUAUACUGCUUCCAUUGAGAGGAAAACAAAGGUAGUACUACUGAUCUUAAAAUGAAUUUAGAUUUACUAUGUUGCUUUACCUCUUGGCCUUUUACAUUUCACAGAAAUCUUUGUUUUAAAUGUAUGCAUGACAUUGUUACAUAUAGAUGGUAACGGCUGUGAAGAAAAUAUGUAUUUUUUUUGUAGGUUCCUUAUGGUAUACGAUAUUUAGUGGCAAAGAUUUGACUGGCCUCACAGGUUAGUGAGUUCCGUUUGUUAUUUAACCUAUUGUAUCAUGGCAAGCACAACUUUAGAUAUUGUAAAAUUUUCAAGUUCAAUGUAUGUCUUUAGAACUGAAGCAGCGGCGACAGGGCAUGUCCAGGGAGCAGCGGCAGCAGAAAAAAUUGACAUGCUGGUGCACUGGAACCAUAAGGAACCUACAAAAAAUGGUCAAGCACAGUGCAUUGAAACCUCUUCAAUUUCCGUUUGGUUAGCACUUUUCCGGUUCACAAUAGGUCGUUUCCACUGUCCUUUUCUACUGCAUCUUGAAUGUGAAAAUUAGUAGAAUCAUCAUAGUUAUA